UUUAAAUUAUGCAAUAGCAAAUCAGUUGAGUGAGUAAAUUAAAAAAAUUUUAAACUUCCCAAAUUUUGAAGAUUAAUAGCUAGACUUAAGGAUUCGCUCAGAGUUGAUUUAUUAAGGAGAGAAAUCUGUGUGCCAGCACUAGCGGUAAAACAUAGCCCCAUUUUAUUCUUUCUUAGAUUUUGUUUAUAGGAUGGUUAACUUAGAGUUUAUUGAGUCUAAUUUUAAAUUCUUCAGCUUUUCGACAUAGGAAGUAGGUGAAACAGACUAGGAUUAGAAACCCUAUUAUUUCUAUUACUCAUAUUCUAAAGACUAACAAUGAUCUGUGGCGGCUCUCUUUCAAAUUAGAGAUCCAUGAACCUAAUGGACAACCCACCCAAAUCUUCGUAUGUUUAGCUCUACAUUUUUUAUAUCGCCGACUGAAAAAAAAAUCAUAAAUUUUUAUUUUGUCAGUUUAAUACUGAUAAGUCAGGUAAAGAUGAAGAUUAUAGCAUUGAAAGUUUGUGGAUCAAAAAUUUUCAGGAAUUAGGUAGUUGAGACGCUAUAAAAAUGAAUUUAAAAGUAAAGCUUCUUAAUUAAAGUGACUUGAAAAUUGUUAAAGAGAGUGUACAUACCGCCCGUCACUUCCCCAUAGGAAUAAGUCGUAACAUGGUUAAUCUACUGGAAGGUGGAAUAUA
rnacentral:rRNA from 1 species